CACUCAUAUUUUAUAUUGAUCCAAUAUGUAUUAUUUUGAGUAUAAUAUAACUCAAAAUAUCAUAAAGAUAAAAUUACACUUCGACCCCUCAUUUCCACAAAAUGAUAAGAUUCAUCCAAGGAGAACUAGGGUUCGAUUUCGGAGAGAGAGCCUGAGAAACGGUUACUACAUCCAAGGAAGGCAGCAGACGCGUAAAUUACCCAAUCCUGACACGGGGAGGUAAUGAUAAUAAAUAACAAUACCGGGCUCUUCGAGUCUGGUAAUUGAAAUGAGUACAAUCGAAAUCCCUUAACGAGGAUCCAUUGAAGGGCAAGUUUGGUGCCAACAGUCGCGGUAAUUCCAGCUCCAAUAGCG
rfam:Populus trichocarpa scaffold_2_contig_42, whole genome shotgun sequence.